rnacentral:piRNA from 1 species
UGAGAUUGUCCCCUGGCAAAUUGUGG